UAAAGUGGCGACCGGGUGAGUAACACGUGACUAACCUACCUUCAAGUGGGGGAUAACCUCGGGAAACCGGGGCUAAUACCGCAUAACAUCUUUGAAGUGGAAAUUUCGAAGAUCAAAGGAGCAAUUCGCUGGAAGAGGGGGUCGCGGCUGAUUAGCUAGGUUGGCGGGGUAAUGGCCCACCAAGGCUUUGAUCGGUAGCCGGCCUGAGAGGGCGCACGGCCACACUGGAACUGAAACACGGUCCAG
rnacentral:rRNA from 1 species